rnacentral:rRNA from 1 species
AUGGCGGACCAGCUCAGCGAGGAGCAGAUUGGCGAGUUCAAGGAGGCCUUCAGCCUCUUCGACAAGGACGGCGAUGGCAGCAUCACCACCAAGGAGCUUGGAACCGUGAUGCGCUCCCUUGGCCAGAACCCGACCGAGGCAGAGCUGCAGGACAUGAUCAACGAGGUGGAUGCGGACGGCAACGGCACCAUCGACUUCCCAGAGUUCCUGAACCUGAUGGCCCGCAAGAUGAAGGACACCGACUCAGAGGAGGAGCUCAAGGAGGCGUUCCGUGUGUUCGACAAGGACCAGAACGGUUUCAUCUCUGCAGCGGAGCUCCGCCAGGUGAUGACCAACCUCGGGGAGAAGCUUUCCGAGGAGGUGGAGGAGAUGGUCCGCGAGGCCGACGUGGAUGGCGACGGCCAGAUCAACUACGACGAGUUCGUCAAGGUCAUGAUGGCCAACCCCCAUCAAUGGAUGAACACGAGCUCUUCUGCAGAUUUCUUUGAAAAAAAAGGAAAAGGACGAAGGGGGAGGCGCGUUUUGGCUCCUGGAGCAUGCACUCCCGCAUGA